rnacentral:tRNA from 1 species
GGGCGUAGCUCAAUGGUAGAGCGUCAGCCUUCCAAGCUGAAUGUUGAGGGUUCGAAUCCCUUCGCCC